AUCCCUUCUCUGUCUUUUGGCUAAGACUAAGUGUAGUCUUUCUUCUUAUCAGUUUAAUAUAAAUGCUAGCUAAGAAGUUACAAUGCGCUAGACCCUCUGUUGGGUGCUAGAGCACAGUGCUUUUUAAUCUUUUUUUUAUUUUUUGGCCUUGCCACAUGGCUGUGGGGUCUUAGUUUUCUAACCAGAGAUCCAACCUGGG
ensembl:snRNA U2 U2 spliceosomal RNA